GAUAGUGUGGCCGAGUGGUCUAUGGUGCUGGUUUAAGGCACCAGUUUCUUCGGAGGCAAGGGUUCGAAUCCCUUCGCUGUCA
rfam:Daphnia pulex DAPPTscaffold_732_Cont10828, whole genome shotgun sequence.